CGUUAACUCCUUUGAUGCUACUUACUAAUGCUUAUAUCGCCAUUAAUACUUCCGCUUUUGCUAAAUAGUUCCCUGUUCUAUCCCAGAUACAUAAUUAAAUUCAUUCACCUACCAAUUUAAAAAAAAAUUUUUUAGUUUAAAUUUUUUUUUUUAACCCAACCAAAGAUGAACUGUAACACUUCAGAGGUUACGCAUCUCCAUAGUUUCUAACGUAUUAAGCUGCAAGUAGAUGGAUGGAUAAAUGGAAAACGUAAUGCAGUAUAAAUUCACAACACUGAGCCCUAGAAUGGAGUUUAAAGUAUAAAAACAUACCGGUAAAAUUCUGAUGCCGGAACUGAUGCACUAGUUUGCUAUUUUACACAUAUUUCGUAGCCAUAUGGCCCUGCAAUUUUAAGCUGUACUUCCUUGGUAUUACACCACACAGUUUUAAUCUCAUUUGGUUUAGUAUUCACUCACUUUUCGUAAUAAAUUCACUUUGUUUUGGAGACCCUGCGUGGGUUAGAUGUGUUCUGUCACUUCUGACAGUUUGACGUUUAUAAACUGGUUGGGGAAGAUUUGAGUCACAUAAAUACCCGUUCAAUGAAAGUUUUUUUUCUUGUCGGAGAAAAUCUGAUUUCAUUUUCAUUAAGAUAAAUUAACAUUAUAACAUGUAAAGUAAUUCUAGGAUAUUGGUUUGCAAUAAAAUUUAGCUAAUAGUUUGGUUUUGUUUUUCUUCUGCGGCGCUAGUCGUGUUCUCGUUUGUCUAUGAUACGGUCAUUAGCAAAGGUGACUAUUUGCAUUACGGGGUUGAAGAUUCGUUUAAUGUAAGUUAAUUUCUUCUUUCCAUACAAAAAUACUUAGAAUUUUAAAAUGAGGGGUAUGUUGUUAUUUGUCUUAAUUUUUGGUGAAAGUUUUCACAAUCUAAUAUUUCCUUUUCUUUGGUUGGAUACGUGGCUAAGGUCUCGGGCCACCAUUGAAAUAUUGUCAUUGCCUGAAGUGAAUCGUAGCUGACAGCAUGUGAAAUUUUGAGAUAGUUAAUAUCCCAGGCAAUCUAUUCAUUCCGGGGUAUGUUUUAGUGUUCAAAGAGUGCUUUGUUUUCUUUAUUGUGUGGUCUUCACGUAUUAAUUAAUAUUUUGUUCUUUUAGCCGAGCCCGUUAAACUCGAUUAACCUAAAAAUGUAAGCCGCCCUUACAAAGAAAAGUAAACAGCCAGUUUAUUUCGGUGAGUUUUGGUAAUAAAACAAGUGUUGCUCGGAGGUUAUUCCUUCAUGUUCUUUGUCCAGAACACCGUUUCUUAUUAUUUUGUAUUACCUUUCCAGCCUUCAAUCUUCCCAUCGCUGCCACGUGAGAACGUGACGGUGACCUCCAGAGGAAAAUAAGGAAAACACCCAGCCUUUCUGGGUGUUUUUAUCCGGGUAUAUGUUCCACAUACUAUCCUGCUACUAUCCUGGUAUUAUGUCCUGAACUGGAGUUAGCAGUUUGCUGCCAAAACUACCCGUGAGAGAAACCGCCCAAGUUUGUGAAACGGAUUAAUACCUAGGAUAUUUUACAUUUAUAACAUAGCAUUUUUAAUUAAGGAUAUCCAUCCAGGAAUAAGACCAAUAUAAUUUUGUGGAGCGAUAUAAAUAUAUAUAUUUCCUGUAAUAAAACUUAAAUUAAAUACUUCCACCUCCGUUAGACUGUACGAUGGUGAUAGAAAAUAAGAACUUAGUGAAGGUUGUUCUUACAAUAAAUUAAUUAAAUUAGU